AUAGGUUAAGUUAAUAAGGGCGCAUGGUGGAUGCCUUGGCACUAGAAGGCGAUGAAGGACGUGACUAACUACGAUAUGCCUCGGUUAGCUGUAAGUAAGCUUACCCGGGGGUUUCCGAAUGGGGCAACCCGAUCUUAAUGAUCAUCAUCUUUUUGAAUUCAUAGAUUAGAUGAAGCAAACGCUGUGAACUGAAACAUCUAAGUAGCAGUAGGAAAGUAAAGAAAUUUCGAUUCCGUCAGUAGCGGCGAGCGAACGCGGAAGAGCCCAAACCUGGAUGCUUGCAUCCAGGGGUUGUAGG
rnacentral:rRNA from 1 species